GCCCGGUUAGCUCAAUCGGUAGAGCGUGAGACUCUUACUUUCGGAGUUCACUAUCUCAAGGUUGCGGGUUCGACCCCCGCAUUGGGCU
rnacentral:tRNA from 1 species